rnacentral:lncRNA from 1 species
AUGGGAAUCCUUAACCCUAGGUAUUGGAACAGAAGCAAGGAGUCACUGACCUCCAGGAUCUGGAGAAGGGGAGCUGGUUCCUGUCCUGGCCAAGCUGCAGGGUGCUGGUCUGUGCUGCUUAGUCUUUGCAUCAGCCAGGGCAUUGAGGAUGCUGACGAGCGCCAGCAGAGAGUGAUUGAUGUUGGCACCCUCCCGAAGCUGCUCCCUGUUCUCCUGGGUACUGGAUGUCACCUCAGCAUCAGCCAGGCCAAUCAGGCUUAUCUUCAUCACCUGAACAUCCUGGGUUGGCUACAGAGAAGAGGCCAAGGAGCACGGCUGUGGGCUCCCCCACCAGGACUUUUCCUCUGAUGGAAAAAGCUGCGCUUCAGAAUGAAUGUCAAUCCUCCUUGCUGCCACCACUGCCACCAUCGUCACAGGACCCAGGGCCUCUCCAGACAGUUUUAUGAAGAAAUCCUGGAGGGCCAAUGUGAUUGCUCAUCCCACCUAAGCCCAAUCCCGCACCUGGUGGAAAAUAAGUCCUUCUAUCACUACCCCUUUGUCCAGAUCCUCACAGAUGGCAAGGGGCUCCUUGGGCUCCAGGAGGUCCUGGAUCUGCUCAUUGUACACCUGAAGGGAAAGGAAAAAACUUGAGGGAGAGGGGUCCAUCAGAAAAUCUCUCUUCCUGGAUGCUGGAGGAGGAAGCAUGAGGCUGGGGCCUAUCUGAGACCCCUUGUAUAAGUGACAUUUUACAGGACCACGUUAAAUGAUAAGAGCAUGGUGAAGUGGUGGGGGGUCAUUUUUAUUUUAAUUAAUUAAUUAAUUUAUUGAGAUGGAGUUUUGCUCUUGUUGCCCAGGCUGGAAUGCAAUGGCACGAUCUCAGCUUACUGCCACCUCCGCCUCCCACGUUCAAGUGAUUCUCCUGCCUCAGCCUCUUGAGUAGGUGGAAUUACAGGCAUGUGCCACCACACCCAGCUAAUUUUGUAUUACAGGCAUGCACAACCAUGCCAAGCUAAUUUUGUAUU